ACGUUAAUCGGGGCAGGGUGAGUCGACCCCUAAGGCGAGGCCGAAAGGCGUAGUCGAUGGGAAACAGGUUAAUAUUCCUGUACUUGGUGUUACUGCGAAGGGGGGACGGAGAAGGCUAUGUUAGCCGGGCGACGGUUGUCCCGGUUUAAGCAUGUAGGCUGAUUGUCCAGGCAAAUCCGGAUAAUCAAGGCUGAGGUGUGAUGACGAGGCACUACGGUGCUGAAGUAACAAAUGCCCUGCUUCCAGGAAAAGCCUCUAAGCAUCAGGUAACAUUAAAUCGUACCCCAAACCGACACAGGUGGUCAGGUAGAGAAUACCAAGGCGCUUGAGAGAACUCGGGUGAAGGAACUAGGCAAAAUGGUGCCGUAACUUCGGGAGAAGGCACGCUGGUGUGUAGGUGAAGUCCCUGCGGAUGGAGCUGAGACCAGUCGAAGAUACCAGCUGGCUGCAACUGUUUAUUAAAAACACAGCACUGUGCAAACACGAAAGUGGACGUAUACGGUGUGACGCCUGCCCGGUGCCGGAAGGUUAAUUGAUGGGGUUAUCCGUAAGGAGAAGCUCUUGAUCGAAGCCCCGG
rnacentral:rRNA from 1 species